AGGCCAUGUCCUAGGGAACAUUAAGGCUAAACAUUAAACUCCUGGAUACUGAAGGGUUGGUGGUUCUCAGUGGGAACUUACGGGAAAAGGACACUGUGCUCCUCAGACAGCCAUAAACUUAAAAAGCUGUAAGUAGUUACACAACCUCAUGCGUGCCAGCACACUCACACACACACACACACACACAUGUGCAGAGCAAGAAAACAUGCACUUACUAAAAGCAGCUCAGUCUUGGUUUGGUCUGCUUUUGCAUGUUAAAAAGUGGGACUGCAGGUCUCAUUCAUUUUUAGGAGUGAAGUGUUUAUCAAUGUUUUCAUUCAGAAAUGUGAACGUAGCUGCACAGGGGCAUUAUUGUGUGAGUGAGAAAAAAUAUCACCCAUAAAAUGGUAAAAGGGUAGAAGAACUAUUAUGCUUUGUGUAUUAAAACAUGUUUUUAUGUAUGUUUAAACCAUUCUGGUUUUUGAUGUGACACCGUGGUAGCCUUUUUUAUAGUAUGACACUUUUUAUAGUGCCUUUCAAAGUACUACUUCCUCUUGAACGUUUACACAUUUUGUUGGGUUAUAGCCUGCUAUGUCCCUAUGUAUUGUAAUGGGAUUUUAUGUGAUAGAGCAAACUAAAAUGUUGAACCUUCGCCUUUGCUUUUAGUCUUUUGCAGCGUGUAACAAGGUUUUAUAUCAGUCCAUGCUGAUGAAAAGCAGCCCCACAGCAUCAUCCUACCACCACCAUGCUUCACCAUGGCGAUGAUGUGUUAGGAGUAAUGUGUAGCCGGUUUUCCAUCACACAUUAUGUUUUGCAGUCCUUCCACUUGACAAAAACACACUACUUUUCUGUUGCUCUGUUACAUAAAAUACAUUAAAAUUCAUGGCUGUAAUUUGACUAAAUGUGAAAAUGUUCAAGGGUUAUGGGUACUUUUGCAAGGCACUUUGACGAAAUAUGCAAAGUGCAAAGCAUGGAAAUUUGCUCUUAAAUAUUGGCAUUUCAGAAACAGUUCUGUUUCAUUUAGGCAUGACUUGCAGAAGAUGUAAUUGGAAAGGAAAUUUAGUACAUUUUUCUCUAUAUUUAUAACCAUAGGAUACACAGUAACAGGUUUUACUGUAAUGAAAUGCCAGCAAGAUUUUAGAGCACAUUUUUUUACACCUCCUGGGGAACAAAAUAGUUUAAAUAGCAUCUUUGUACAUCUCCAAUGCGCACUUUAUAUAUAAAAAUAUAUUUGUAUAUAAAAAUAGUAUCUUGUAUAUCAUUCCCAAAGCCAAGCAAUUUAAAAUCACACAUUUUUUUCUGCUUAUAGUUGCUGAUUGGUUUAACCUGAAACCUUUUACAGGUGUCAUGGUUUGUCAUUUUUUUAAGAGGUGCAAAGUCUCAUUUAUUCACAUGUACACAAAUACUAUACCGAAUGUAGCAGCUCAACUGAUCUGCAUUUGCUCCCUGAUACUCAGUGCAGUUCUUUGCUUUGUAUAUGUUUUUUUUUUAUCUGUGCACAUGCAAGUUGUGAUAUAAUUGAUUUUUAAACUGAAAGGGCAAUUAAUGGUUUUUAUUACGCAUGAUUUUUGAUACUCUACUAUACAUUUCUGUCAUGUUGUGUCUUUAAUAAACCAUAUUUCUUUUUAAUCUAAGCGGUGGCAAUUCAAAGGGAACUGUGUUAAACUGUGAACAUAUAUUUGUACAUUACAGGUCUAUAUGUAAUUUUUGCAUUUUUAAAAAAAGAAUAUUCAAUAUUCCUACCACUCAAUAAAUAUAUUGGUAAAA